AGAAAACCUACUUAAAGUCACGUGGGGAGACAAGAGAGAAUCUAUUCUUGAAGAGAAAGUGGAAAAGGUGAAGUGGAUCAAUUUAUGCUCAUAUCUCAUAGUCAGCAUCCUCAUUUCCUUCUUAAAGGGCAAAGGGAACCCUGCUGGAUAGUUUUGUGUCAACUUGACACAAGCUAAAGCCAUCUGAGAGGAGAGAACUUCAAUUAAGAAAAUGCUUCAUAAGUUCAGAUAAGCAGACCUGCAGGACAUUUUCUUAAUUAAUGAUUGAUAGAGGAGGGAUCAGCCUAUUGUGAGUGGUGCCACCCUUGGGUUGGUGGUCCGGGACUCUGAAAGAAAGCAGCUUGAACAAGCCAUGAGGAGCAACCAGUAAGCAGGAUUUGUCCAACCCCCACAGUAGGACAAAUGAGUGAGAUGCAAUCAUUUGAAGUGAUGAAACAAAAGAAGUCCUUACUGCUGUGGGAUUCCAAAGGAGAAAGCAGUGCAUUUUUCAUGAAAACAAAAAUGAAAUAAAACAAAACCAAAUCUCUCAGAAGAUAGAAGUGAGAUGGGUUCCGAGGACAAAUUGAUUAAUCUAUAAGUGAUCAAUAUUGAUGAAUUUAUCUGGUCUACUAUGGAAGAACUCAGUAAAUGGAAGAUCCUCAAAGUCUGCAGAUUCUAGCAAGAAAUGCUCUGUGAUAUUUUUCUACAGGUUCAUGAGCUAAAAAUGACAGUGGACAUUCAAGUGUGGUGUCCAGUGAGACAACUCAUCACUGGCUUCAAGUAGGGAUCUGAGUUUACUCACAGUAUCUAUUCGUGGUGAUGGAUCCUGUGACCAUUGGAUGAAAAGUUUCUCCAUUUAAGAAAACCAAACUUUCAUCUGAGAGAGGAGGCAGUUUACUAUAUGAUGGGUACCCCUCUGGGCUCUGACAAUGUAUUUGGACUUCUGUUGGGGAAAUCUGAGUUUGUUGUCUAUCUUGCAGCCUUUGAUUAAGGUCCAGGACCAUUUAUGCCUUCAGAAUCCCGUUAGUAACUUUCUCAAGGGCUUGCAACUGAGGAAAGCAGCAGGUGUCAGGGAGGUACCCACUUGCUAUGUACAGUCUUGCUAAUUUGUUUUUUCUAGGAAUGUCCCAUGGACAACAGUAGCCACCAUAGAAGUUAAUUACAAUUUUACCUUUUUAUUUAUUUAUAAGUUUUGCUAUUAGUUGAACUAGCAAAUGGUUCAAUAGUAAAUUAUCUUGCAGUUCUUGUGUGAUGAAACUGCAUAAAGACAGAAAGUUACAAUACAAGCUUUGUAGUAUUAGUAUACAUGUGGGUUUUCAUAUAUCUACUAAGCUGGAGAUGGAUUUCAUUAUUCAACAUUUGCAUAACAGAAAGUGAGCUUUUAUUAUUUUCCAAUUAAAUAUUAUACCUAUUACAGUUUUCUUUUUUUUUAGAAAACAGACUAGUAUAAAGUGAGAAUUAACAACAGUAAGCUGGCAAACUUUACUAGAUUAUUAUUAGAUAUAAUCAACGUGAAGAUCCAAGGAGCCAAGUGAAUGAAAGAAUUUCUAAUCUAUAAAGCCGUGUUAGCGUUCUGAAAAGUUACUUGACCAAUAUAUGGUUGUGCAUAUCAUCUGCUGUGUUCUGAAAACAACUCUUGGUGCUUGAAAAAAUGAAAACUAAACUGGUUAGUGAUGCUACAUGGCUUUAAUUGCAGGAAUUAGGAGGCAGAGGCAGGCAGGCUCUGUGAGUUUAAGGCCAGCCUGGUCUAUGGAAAGAGUUCCAGGACAGCCAAAGGAAGACAGAGAAAUCCUGUCUUCCAAAACAAACAAACUAACUAAAACCAACCAAACAAAAAAAGUAAACACAUAGCUGAAAGGUUUGAUUUUUAUUCUCAAAUAUUUUUAUGGUCAAGGAAACUGAUCCAACAUUUGUGUAGUGCAGAGUCCAAGAUAGUGCUUGCUUCAAAGUCAGUUCCACCAGGAGAAUGGGAUGUCUAUGGCACACUCUAUAGGUUCAUAUAUGGGGAGGCUGAAAGGACUGAAAGUAAUUAAAGGAAGCUUAAAAUAAUGAUGUUCUAGGUUAUGCCUAUUUCUAAAAUGUCCCCUUCCUUCCAUGUCACUCGUCACAUCCUUAUUUACCAGCUUAGCUGUUCUAGUGCCUAUGACCUCAUUGGCCCGCUCUUACGGAUUCAUCACUUCCUUAUCUGGCAUCCAGCCUGGAAUAACACACAUUUUAUUACUGAGAAUAUCCCAUUAUGUCAAAUCAAUAAAGGAAUUAUCAUUUUUGAAGGGAGAUGGAGCUACGCUGUAGUAUGUUUCAUUGCUUUCUGCCUCCCUGACUGGGCAAGUCACUUAGUCUUGAGUCUGAGCAAGUCUUAGCUGUAAAUGAUAAUGAUGACAUUAUGAACAUUAAAUAUAGUGUUCACACAUGUCCUGCAUAUAGGAAACACCUAAGAAAUGACAUUCAUUGUUAAUUUUUAUGGAUAUAUUAUCCCUGUUAGAUGGUCUUUCACUCUCAUUAUGCUCUUCUUUAGCUAAUGGAAACUGGCAUGAGGACCAGGUACAUAGGAAGUACCUGAUAAAUAUUUGAACCAGUAAGCAUAUAGGAAACAAAAAAGAGAUAAAUUAGAAGCGAUAUUUUGUGUGAGGGAAUGGUGUAGAAGAGUUGAAAGGGACAAGAAAUUAGAAAUCUCUCUGAUCUUACCAGAGGAAAGUCUUGCAGAGCAUAUUCAGUUUGAUUGGCUAGUGAACUACAAGUUGGCACAUUCAGGUUCAAUGGUAUCUGCUAUGGUAAGGAGUGUGGGGAUAUAGUGUUUUGGGAGACAAUGAUAUACUAAAAAAGUAUGAGUAAUGGAUAUUUUUAGAAAACCAGAUUCAUCCCUAUGAACCCCGGUGAUGGUUGGUCUUAAUGUUAAUUUGUCAGGAAUUACAAUCAUGUGAGUAGGGAGUUUCACCUGAAGGAUUGCCCUGAUUUUCUCAGUGGGUGAGAAAAAACCUACUCCAGUGUGAAUGGUUCCUUCUGGGAGCCGCCUAGAUAAACAGAGAGCCUGGCACUGGGAACAUUGUUCUCCUUUGUCCAUACCUUCAGACACCAAGUGGGUUUCCCAUUGCAGCCAUGGCUGAUGUCUCCAGGGAUCGCAGAACCAGCAUUUCCAGGCUUCAUCACUGACCAAGGACUAGCCAUUCUCCGGGAACGUUUAAGGUUUGCAGCUCCAGGUUAGGAUUGCUGUGGCACCAGCCUCUGGGACUGAGUGCUGGGUUGUGGGCUUCUGGUGUGAGACCAUGAGUGUGGGAUUCACUCCAAUUGCAGGUGUACCAGCCUUCAGUACUGAGUCACUGUGGGCUUCUCUGCUUCUAAGCUGAUUUAAGGCAUUCUUUUUACUAUUCAGCUAUAGGUUCUGCUGCUCUGGAGAACACUGACCUACUCAAACACUAAUGACUUUAACAUGUUAACAUUUUUAUUUGUUUAUAAGAGGAACAUGUGUGUGUUCACUACACCCCAAGGUUUUGAAAAAAAACUUGUCAUACUGUGUAUAGCCGUGUGAUGAGAUAUUUUUGAGAAGGGAGGACUAGAGAAAGGUUUCACUUUGUUGCAUAGGCUGGCCUUGAACUUGGGGUUAUCCUUCUGCUACAACUUUUCAAGUACUAGGCUUAAAGGCAGAAUCCACAAAACUCAGCAUAAAGAAGAUCCAGAGAAGAUAGUCUAUUCUGAUGAAAUGUAAGGGUGCCUUAAAGAUGAUGAUUCAUGACUUUAGAAUAGCCAUAAAUCUUUGAGGAAUGAGCAAACCAAAAUUAGGAACAUAUGUCCCCUCUGCUCUUGGAAUGGCACUUCCACGAGAGUCACCAGGAGUUAAAUGGAAUGAUGACAAGCCACAUAUGGCACCAGAUCUGUGCUAGAUUAAUAACAGUAUGAGAACACAGUUAAACAGUGAUAAUCCCCUUGUUAUCCAGUGUCUUUUCCCUUUCCAACAACCUCACAGUACAUCGUUAAACACGCAAAAGACACUUGUUAAUGGGGACAGCUGACACGCGAGGAGAAGCCAUGUGGCCUAUCUUUUGAAACAAGCUGAAGAGGCUGAUUCUUCAUUCACAGGACUGCAGAGGAGUCAUUUGGAGAUCAAAAAAUGAGGCUAACCCUGACUAGCUUGAGGCGCUCCAUCUGGCUCUGCCCCAUGCUGUUGCCAUAGCCACCCAUCUCCUAGCAACAAUGAAUAGCAUUUUCAUGUCUCUACAGUGACAAAGCAUGAGAGUGAAAAACAUAAGUAUGGCCACAAUACACUAAUAAUCUUAGAGGUUAUCUCAUAAAUUAAGUUCAAUCUGAGGAUCUGCAUGAAUAUUUGAUUUGGUGAUUGUAUUUUUCCUAUGGUAGUCUUUUGUCUUGGUUUAAAAUAAAGCAGCCUGACAGCCUGCUAUUAAAUAUAAGAUGACAAAUACCAUUACAAAGGGCACAAUAAAGCUAAACUUUAUUUUAAAUCACACAGAAAAACAAUCAUCUUUUUAAAUAACUGCCCAUCAACAUCUAGAACUCCGGGGACAAAUGCCAGGGUGGGAAAACUCAGCCUUGGACUUAGAAGGAAUAUUCUGUCUUGACACAUCCAGGCUCAGACAAGCCACCAGGAGCCUUUGCAUCGAGCAAGGAGUCUCAGCUGAGGUAACUAAUCAAAAACAGUAAAGAAGCUGAAUAAAGAGAGAAGGAAAGGCCGUCUGCAUCAUGCUUGUCCUUGUGACAAAGUGAAAACCCGCAUGACUCAUCUAAGAGGAUGCGGAGCUGUUUAUUUCUAAAGGUUUGUGCCAUACUUGAAGCAUGCUUUAUUUGAAUAUUCUGCCAGGAGAAUUCCAUUGGGAUGGCGCCCAUUGUUUCUUUUUUAAUGAAUAGUAACUCUCAACCAGAGAAUGCUUUUACCAACCCUCUGGUCCCCACCUGAGAAUGCAGAAUUUUAGACAGCCACAGAGAUGGAGAUAGUGAAGUUUGAGGAAAUUCUCAUUUAAAAACAUUUUUUUUUUCACCGUUUUUGUCAGCUACAGCUCAUGACCCAUCUCUUGUUUAGAAAUAAGAAUCUGUCACAGUUUGAAUAUUGCUUUCGUGAUUUUUUUUUUUUUUCUAUGAGAGCCUGGGCAUUUGGUAAAUGUCAGUGAAAGAUGCAGGCAGUGAGAAGCCGCUUUAGGAAUCCUACUGAGAGAUUUCUCUGGAGGGGAAACAGCAUCUAAACAAUGAGGUCUGCAGAGUGGAAUAAACAAUCCAACACUUCUGCAGGCCAUUAUCAUGUGUUUACACAUUGCAUGCGGAGUUGAGUUUAGCUGUGCUAACAGCUUUGUGAGAAGAAAAUCCCCCCAAAAUUAAAUAAUCAAAAGAGAUAGGUGAAUGCUGAUUUUAUGAAAUAAACAGUGAUUGAGGAGAGAAGAAAAACCAGCAGGACUCAGCAGGAAGCAAAUUAAUUCUUGCUGGAGAUUUACUCUUCUCAAGAACUUAAAUUGCCCAUUUCCUAAUCAGUACAGUUCUUGUAUGUUGUUUCUUUUUCAGUCUUCCUAAAUUUAUUUCAUGUUAGUGCUCUUUAAUUUUUCACUCUAUUGUUUUCUAAAUUAUAGUGUGAAACUCCAGUUCCUUGAGAGCCUCUGUGAAGUUCUGAUCUCAGUUAUUUACCAUGCCUCUAAUUUGAUAACAGUAAAAUUAUUUUCCAAUGAUUACAUUUAUCUGUUUCAUUUGCCCCUGCUUCAGAGAAUGAUGUAAGAGGAAUACCUAAUGUGCUUUCUUUUUUUCCCUGUGUCAUUGGAAUGAUCCGUGACCCAGGCAAUCCCAUGUAUUCAUAAUACUACUGUGUAAAAACUGAAGCAAAACUGUCUUAGUGUCCUUCCAUGGGGAAUGGCUGCUCAGUUACUGGCUCUUUCCAUGUGCUCAUGCUGUCGCAAGCAGGAAAAAGCACAAAAUGUUGUUCUCCCAGCUAAUUCUGCACACAGAGAAAGAUGUCAACACACAUUAAAACUGCAACCACAUUUGAGAAGGCUCGCAGAACUCUGCAAAUGCCAUCGUUGUUUGCAGAGCUCGAGCUGCAGAGAUGUCGUAUGCUUUUCAAUCUGCUUUUUACUCUUCUGCCGUCUUAAAAUAAACCGUGUAAUUCUGGCUCUUGGCUUUUGGAUGUGAGU
rnacentral:lncRNA from 1 species